rnacentral:rRNA from 1 species
AUAGAUUUUUGAUCUUGGUUCAGAGUGAGCGUGGGCGGUAGCGGUAACACAUACACAUGCAAGUCGAGCACCAAGGAGCUUUUUCCUUGGGUGGCGAGUGGCGGACGGGUGAGGAAUACAUCGGAAUGUACUCAGUCGCGGGGGAUAACUUAGGGAAACUUUCGCUAAUACCGCAUACGACCUACGGGGGAAAGCAGGGGAUCUUCGGGCCUUGCGCGAUUGAAUGAGCCGAUGUCGGAUUAGCUAGUUGGCGGGGUAAAGGCUCACCAAGGCGACGAUCCGUAGCUGGUUUGAGAGGAUGAUCAGCCACACUGGAACUGAGACACGGUCCAGACUCCUACGGGAGGCAGCAGUGGGGAAUAUUGGACAAUGGGCGCAAGCCUGAUCCAGCCAUACCGCGUGGGUGAAGAAGGCCUUCGGGUUGUAAAGCCCUUUUGCUGGGAAAGAAAUCCCACGGGUUAAUACCCGGUGUAGAGAUGACGGUACCCUACAAGAAUAAGCACCGGCUAAC